UGUUAAGGCUGUGGAACUGUGAGUCAAUUAAACCUUUUUCCUUUGUAAAUUACCCAGUCUCAGGCAGUUUUUAUAGCAGCUUGAGAAUGGGCUAAUAGACUAUGGUUGACCUUUUUUUCAUUUUAUACCAUAAAUGAGCAUCUGCUUUGUCACUGGGUCAGAACCCAAUUACUUUUAAAGUGUGAUAAAGGAACUUAGUGUAGGAAUAAAAGCUCACGUUCCCUUUUGUAAAAUGAAAAUCCUUUUGCAAUAGAGAUAAUUCAUUUAUUUAUUCAGGAAGCAUUUGUUUGUUUCUUUUUUAAAAAUCCUGUAGAUUCAUUAAGAAGACAAUAGAUGGCAUUUCAGUGGGGAUCCAAUCUAUGGCUGUAGUAUUGGGUGUGGCAUGAGGGGGCAGGAAUAGUCAAGUCUACAAUCUGUGAAUCUGUGAAGUCUUUGAAUGGUUGCUCAGAUAUUUAAAAGUUCAGGUGUUUGAAUCAAAUUAUAAGGCAACAAGACCCAGAACAGAAACAACAAGUGCCCAUUUACAAUCUUUGCUUGCUACCUUUUCACCUUGGUUCCAUCUACAGCUUUCCUCUUCUAACAAGACUCUAAAAUGCAUGCUGCUAGCAUGGAGUGAGCACCCGCCUGUUUCCCCGUUACUCUGUGCUGAUGGCAGACUUCCUAAUAGAGGACAACAUCUUCUAUCAUGGCAUCUCUAUCUAAGACCACCUCUACAUCCUCCCCUCCACCACCUUGUUGACAUCUA